AAGCAGUAAAUGUGGAGCCGUAGCGAAAGCGAGUCUGAAUAGGGCGUUUAGUAUUUGGUCGUAGACCCGAAACCAGGUGAUCUACCCUUGGUCAGGUUGAAGUUCAGGUAACACUGAAUGGAGGACCGAACCGACUUACGUUGAAAAGUGAGCGGAUGAACUGAGGGUAGCGGAGAAAUUCCAAUCGAACCUGGAGAUAGCUGGUUCUCUCCGAAAUAGCUUUAGGGCUAGCCUCAAGUGAUGAUUAUUGGAGGUAGAGCACUGUUUGGACGAGGGGCCCCUCUCGGGUUACCGAAUUCAGACAAACUCCGAAUGCCAAUUAAUUUAACUUGGGAGUCAGAACAUGGGUGAUAAGGUCCGUGUUCGAAAGGGAAACAGCCCAGACCACCAGCUAAGGUCCCAAAAUAUAUGUUAAGUGGAAAAGGAUGUGGCGUUGCCCAGACAACUAGGAUGUUGGCUUAGAAGCAGCCAUCAUUUAAAGAGUGCGUAAUAGCUCACUAGUCGAGUGACACUGCGCCGAAAAUGUACCGGGGCUAAACAUAUUACCGAAGCUGUGGAUUGUCCUUUGGACAAUGGUAGGAGAGCGUUCUAAGGGCGUUGAAGCAUGAUCGUAAGGACAUGUGGAGCGCUUAGAAGUGAGAAUGCCGGUGUGAGUAGCGAAAGACGGGUGAGAAUCCCGUCCACCGAUUGACUAAGGUUUCCAGAGGAAGGCUCGUCCGCUCUGGGUUAGUCGGGUCCUAAGCUGAGGCCGACAGGCGUAGGCGAUGGAUAACAGGUUGAUAUUCCUGUACCACCUAUAAUCGUUUUAAUCGAUGGGGGGACGCAGUAGGAUAGGCGAAGCGUGCGAUUGGAUUGCACGUCUAAGCAGUAAGGCUGAGUAUUAGGCAAAUCCGGUACUCGUUAAGGCUGAGCUGUGAUGGGGAGAAGACAUUGUGUCUUCGAGUCGUUGAUUUCACACUGCCGAGAAAAACC
rnacentral:rRNA from 1 species